rnacentral:rRNA from 1 species
CCUACGGGUGGCAGCAGUGGGGGAUAUUGCACAAUGGAGGGAACCCUGAUGCAGCGACGCAGCGUGGGUGAAGAAGCGCCUCGGCGCGUAAAGCUCCGUCAGCAGGGAAGAAAAUGACGGUACCUGAAGAAGAAGCCCAGGCUAACUACGUGCCAGCAGCCGCGGUAAUACGUAGGGGGCCAGCGUUAUACGGAUUUACUGGGUGUAAAGGGGGCGCAGACGGCGAGGCAAGCCAGGAGUGAACGCCCGGAGGCCAACCCCGGGACUGCUCUUGGAACUGAGUGGCUGGAGUGCAGGAGGGGCAUGCGGAAUUCGUGGUGUAGCGGUGAAAUGCGUAGAUAUCAGGAGGAACACCGGUGGCGAAGGCAGCCUGCUGGACUGCAACUGACGUUGAGGCCCGAAAGCGUGGGGAGCAAACAGGAUUAGAUACCCGAGUAGUC